GACGAACGCUGGCGGCGUGCUUAACACAUGCAAGUCGAACGGAAAGGCCCAGCUUGCUGGGUGCUCGAGUGGCGAACGGGUGAGUAACACGUGGGUGAUCUGCCUCUAACUUCGGGAUAAGCUUGGGAAACUGGGUCUAAUACCGGAUAGGACAAUCGUUUAGUGUCGGUUGUGGAAAGUUUUUUCGGUUAGGGAUGAGCCCGCGGCCUAUCAGCUUGUUGGUGGGGUAAUGGCCUACCAAGGCGUCGACGGGUAGCCGGCCUGAGAGGGUGGACGGCCACAUUGGGACUGAGAUACGGCCCAGACUCCUACGGAAGGCAGCAGUGGGGAAUAUUGCACAAUGGGCGCAAGCCUGAUGCAGCGACGCCGCGUGGGGGAUGACGGCCUUCGGGUUGUAAACCUCUUUCGACAGGGACGAAGCUUUGGUGACGGUACCUGUAUAAGAAGCACCGGCUAACUACGUG
rnacentral:rRNA from 1 species